rnacentral:lncRNA from 1 species
GUGGUGCCUGACUCUGCCAGACUCUCUGUCUGUGCCCCAGGGAAGCGACAUGCAGCUCCCAGGACUUUGUUUCCUUCAUCGGUAAAAUAGGAAUUUAAAAACCGGCACUAAACGUCUGCUCUCAAGGAUCACUGUGAGGAUGAAACGGCAGCUCCAGUAUGGCCCAGCCAGGUGUGGACAGGAGGCUUCUGGACAUGAAGAUGUGAACACACUGUGUGGUCUGCAAGCCUGGUGUGCACACGGCUGCUGGCUGACACGCCUGUCCCAGCCACAGCCCCAUGGCAUGCUUGUCUCCAGGCAUGAGUCCAAGCUGGCUCCAUCUUUCAGCACUGGACCCUAGAGAGCAUCCAGUCUUCUUCAAACCUCUGUUUCCCCAUCUGCAAAAUGGCAGUCUCAGGGCCUCCACCCUGCACCUCAAAUUCUGAGGGCCUGAUGCAUUUCUGAGUUCCCAACUUUUGGAUUUUUAGAAAAGUAAUAGAGUGUGGGUGUUACUUCAUAUGUAACACUAUGUUAUGGAUUAGCUCCAAAAUGUACCCCAAAAGUCAUAUGGGUGGAAGGUGACUGCAUCAUGGAUUCACUCACUGGUGACCUCAGGGCUGAGUGUGCUGUUAGGCGUGGGCCUGGCUGACGCUGGUCCCUGGGGUCUCUCUGCUUCCUGGGUGCAGCUGUCCUCUGCUGGGCCUUCCACCAAACCUUUCUGCUGUGGAGCUGGUAGACCAUGGACAGAACCCACUGAGACUGUGAGCUAAGUAAACCUGUCCUCCCCUAGGCUGUGGGUGCUGGUAUUGUAUUCCAGCAAUGGAACGUGACCGAGACACACCACUAGUCCUGCGUCAAACUUACCAACAUUUCUCCAGCAAAUCUAUGAAUGUCCAAAUUAAGCAGAUUACGUAAAACCACGAGUAAAUUCAUGCUAGCUGAGGUCAGGUUUUGCCACCAAAUGAAGUAAUUGUUUUAAGUUGCUGUGUUCAGAACAUUGUGCGUGAAGAACUAGAGAUGUGAGUAGCCGUCCAGUGCCACCUCCCUCAUGGGAAGACAGGAGUCCUGUGCCUGUGGAGGGUGCUGCAGGGACAUGGCUUUACAACACUGGCUGCCAUGCACAGCUUUUCAUGGUGGCUCUGAGCCAGGAGCCAUUUUCCUUAUGAUUGGUGUAUGUUUGUGGUACAUAAAAGUUCCGUAUAUGUGCCCCUCUCUCUUCCCUGGGUCCCUGUCCCCUUCUCCACAAAGUCUGCCUCCCCGUUUCCUACCAUCUCUUUUAUUUUGCUCUUUAGAUUAUUUAUAUUUUGGGUUUCUCAGAGAUGAGAAACUGAUAUUUAACCCCUGUCUGAUUUCUUUCACUUAGCAUGAUGGUCUCAAGAUGCACCCAUUCUGUUAAUGACUCACAUCUGUCCUGCUUCUCAGCUGAGUUGUACUCCAUCGUGUGUGCAGCAUACACCACUUUUUUUUGGUACUGGGAAUUGAACUCAGUUCCUUGCACUUGCACAGCAGGCAGCAGAACCACUGAGCUAAAUCCCCGGCCCUACGCCACAUUUUAAUGCCCAUAGUGAAGAGGGGAACAGAGGCCCAGGGCAGUUGAGUAGCUGCUCAUUGUACAUAGCUCUAAAUGACCAGCUGGCCCUCAAUGUCCUAGCCUGGCAGCAUCCACCCAUUAUGUGCUUGUCACUAAGCUGGGAAGGAGAAGUGGCAACUCAGGCCUCUGACUCCUUUCUUUGUUUGCUUGCGGUCACACUCUGGGCAGGUGCUCACCACUGAAAUGGACUCCAGCCAGGCCUGGACUUUGACUCUGCCCUCUCAGCUCACCAGGCCUCUACUGGAGGGAGAUGUGAAAGAGAAAGUUAAAAGCGAGCACGUCUUUCUGGAAGUCUGGCUGGGCCUGCACUCAAUCUCCCAGCCCCGCUGUCCGCACUGCAGUGCUUGCUCUCCUCGGGCAGCGGCCUGACUGCCUGGCUGCUCCUGCUCUGUCCAGGCAGCCCAGCUGGUCAGAGAUCCCUGCAGGGCCCCGGCCCUCAGAGAGGUCACCCAGUCCCCCUUCCCAGCGGCCAGGUUGCCUGGCCAGUGUGGAUGUGGGGAGGAGCAGAGGUCUCCUGGAUGCUGUGGCUGCACAGACAUCUCCAGACUGCCAAGUUCUGCCUGCCUCCCGUGCAGCCAGCACCCGGCCAGGCUUGAAUCAUUCUUCAGCUUGAGCUGCGUCCCACGCUGCCGGCUCCAGUUCGAUCCCUGCAGAGCAGCACUCAUCCACCCACACUUGCUGCUGGCACCCGGUUGCCUGUCAAACUCACCCCGCUGCAUGCUGGGUCCUCACACCCAUGGCACACAUCCCAGUUCCAGGGUCGCUGCAGUGACGGAUUGAGUCCCAGAGCUUGAAAUUGUCCUCAACUCUGCCCUUGCAUCCCUGUCUGAUGGUGAGGUCUCUGGGUUCCUGCAGCCUGGUCACUCUGGUCAGCGGGUCCAGCUCCGAUGACUGCAGUGUUUCCUGACAUGUCCCCUGCUGCCUUGUGUGUGGUUUGUGAAAUCAUGAGAAAUAGACACAUUGAUCUCUGCCCUGGUCCCUGGCCUACAGCUGCUGAAGCCCUUGCAGACAGGGGCACUGGGAGGUUGUUUGUUCUAGUAUCGGGUCUUUGACCCCAGUUCCAGAGCUCCUAGGAUGUCUGUCAUUUCCUGAGUGAUAGGAGGGUCCAGCACACAGGUCCUCGUCCUCUGGAAUUUCCUGGGAGCUGGAACUUUGUCAAGCAGCAAUGGAGGUCCGUUGGGCUUCGCCACAGUUCUGCAUGACCUAAAAUCCCUCCACACUUGGAUUUCAUGAUGUUUUAUGGAAUGUGCAGUGACCUUGUUUUCCACGUUUCGAACCAGAAAAUCUUUGGACUCAUGGGAACAUGGGUUUGGAGCCAGACAGACAGCCUGACAACAGGGCUGUGGAAGAACUCAAGGCCGGUGCUGGUCCAGGGAGGUAACCCCACUGCUUGGUCCUUGGCAGAAGGGCUGCAGGCAUCCCUAGGGUUAGGAAGAGCCAUGCUCCAGUCCCCAUCUGCCCAGUAUACGAUGCAGGCCUGAGAAAAAAGACGCUAAGAGACAGAACUAGAAGGGAAAGUGGGGGCCAGGAUGGCCAAUGCCGGUACAGCUGACAAAGAUGCUGGCCAGUCCCAGGCACUGAGUUUUACUGGCAAUCAGUUGAGUUAAAGGCGAGCUACAAAUAGUCUCUAUGGAAAUUAAUGUAAAAAAGGCUCAUAAAGGACAAGACAAACCAUUCUCGAAUUUAGGAACAUAAUAGACAAAAUAUAUGGUUGCAAUUAGAACAUUGUCCUUCUAGUCAGAAGGGUUUAGUUGUGGGAACGGAAUUUGGGUGUGAGUUACUCUGACCUCAGCACGUAGGCUUCAGCCAGACUCACUUCUAUAAACAAGCCAGCUGUGGGGUUAACUCUUCACAGCCUGCUUUGGGAAUAAUCAAUUUUAUGGUCCUCUGCACUCCAGGAGUGUUAGUUGUGCACAGGCUUAUCUUCUCACUGCUCUGAUAUGCACAUGAAGAUAGGUUUCAAGGCAAAAAGCUUUCCAUGAGGCUUAGCUGAAUAUUUUGAAGAGCAAAUCAAGACUCAGUCAGGUGUGUGAUGAUACAUGGAUAGGGCUACCAGCAGGGAAACUGACAGCCAGGAAGGCAGGAGCUCCCAUCAACGAAGCUCUCUAGAAUCCACAAGCUAAUGAAGUCAAGGCCAAUUGUCAGUUAGUCAGCAGGCAUAUCACCGCCAGCAUCCAGGGCAGUGGGUGCAACCACAGGUGACUGCUAAUGGGCAAAUUAGGGAACUUCACGGGCAGCAGUUCACAGAACUAGAUGGCAGGGAGACAGGGCUGCUGGAUCAAGGAGGUCCUGGGCACAGGGGUCCACAUGUGGGAUUUCUGGUGCAACUGAGAAACCCAAGGAGCCGGCUUCCUCUAGCUGCCAACUGCAGCAGCACGGUGCGUUCAUGAGCACACGGGCAUUCUUGUUUGCAGUGGCAUCACUGGUUGCUCUUGCCCUGUUUUCCUCACGCACCAGAGGAAGCACAGGGCCGAGGCUGGGCCAGAUGGUGCCACUUGUACAGGCUGGAGUUCCUCGUAGGACCACCUGCUUACCUUCAUGCUGCCCGACCCCACUGCAGCCCUGGGAACCCUCUGCUCCAUGAACUGACUUGACUCCACUCGGUAACUGAUCACUGGGCCCAAGUUCAUUGAUUUGUUAAACUAAAGGGUUUUUGUGGUGGUAUAUUUGAUUUCUAACCUUUUCCUUUGAAGAUUAGUGUGUAUAUGUGCAGGGGGAGAUUAAGAGACAAGUGCAUUUGCAUAUCUACACAUACAGCCAGUGUUCUGUGUCCCAGAUCCACAUCUGUGACUGAACCUGCUGUCUCCCUGCACUGUGCAGUUAGGGCCAUGAUGGCUGCACCUGUACAGGACAUGUCCAUACUUUCCUUCCUGCCAUUCCCCAAACAAUGCAGCAUAUCAGCUAUUUAGGUGGCGCUUACACUGCUGUAGGCAUCACAAGUCAUCUAGGGAUGAUUUAUACUGGGGUUGUACAAUAUUUUAUGGAAGGUACUAGAGCAUCCUCAGAUUUGGGCACCCAUAGGGGGCCCAGGGGCCCAUAUCUGUGGAUACUGAGGCAGGACCAUGCUUCAGUGAGGAGCCCAUGUUAGUGCACAGAGGAGAGGAGCAGCAGAAAGCACCGGGCAUCGAGGGGCCCUGCACCCACAGUGACUUUCUGUGUCCCUUCACCAGGGUCCCCUUUCCUCUUUGAGUUUUGAAUCCCUCCACUGGAGGGUAGAGAAGAUGAUUUCACCCUGCUCUGGGCUCCGCUCAGCUCUGAUCUCCUGCUCUGGGCUGGGACACCUGUGUUGUCACCUGCCUCCUCUGCUCACCCUGCAGGAAAUACACUCGAGAAGGACACUUGGCAUGAGAAUGUGCCUGAGGGAGGCAGUCUUGCUCUUCCUGACACUGCUUUCCUGGGAGGCCAAAGUCCACUGGAUUGGCAAAGACCCCUAAACACUGUCCUGAGAAAUGCCAGGGCAACCCUGUGCCCUACACUUCUUCCAUGAAGGACCAGUCCCAGCUGCAGAAGGGCCAGGGCAAGGUGGUCAAGAAGACUGUCCAGGGCAUUCAUCAGAGGUCACCUUGACCACUCAAUGUGCAGCUCCUCAGGGCAGAGAGGGCACAGCUGUGGCAGCUAAAGCAGAGGGCACAUUAUACUCGGGCCCCUUCCGCCUCUGCUUCCCAUACCCUGCCCAUACCUGGCUUUGUUUCCUAGUCUCCCUCCAUGCGCCCACCCUCCUCUUGAGCAGAAUUCCAGCAUUUUCCAGUGCUCUUGUUCCUUCAGUGAGACUGGCAGCAUCACUCAGACAAAUCUGCCUGCUCAGUCUCUUUGGCCAGGGUUGAGUUGCUCCCGCUGGCCACUCCAUGUGCCUUAUACAUUUCCUCUCUUCACAGAACCAGGAGCUUCUGGAAAGCCUGAACUCAGGGAUGCUGUGAGACUUCUCAGGGCACAUUCUUUUCCUUAAAUUCCUUUAUUGGUACAUUUUAGGUAAACAAUACAGUUACAUUCAUCAUUGGGAUCUUGCACCUAUACAUGAUGCAUCUCGGUUCUUAUUUUUCCCCUCUCCCCUGCCCUCCCUUCACCCCCUCCACCCUUCUCUAUUUACAGAGACUUUGUUUCCAUUUUUUCCUUUUCUCAUAUUUUUUCCUUUCCCUUUUUUCCUUUCCCCUACCCCUCCCACUUCCCCUACUCCUUUAGACCUUUUCUUCCUAUUGCACAUUAUCAAUUAUUCAUUUUAAUCCUUAUUUACACUUUCAGUUUCUCACACCAGAGAAACUAUUUGGUAUUUACACAUGUGUGUCCUAUUUAUUUCACUUAAUAGUAUCACCUCAAUGUGGAUCCAUUUAGCUAUAAAUGUCUCUAGUUUGUCAUUCUUUAUGGCUGAGUAGUACUCCAUUUUAUUUUUUAAAAACCCCACAUCUUCUUUAUCCAGUCUCUAGUUGAUGGGCACAUGGGCUAUUUCGAAGCUUUAGCUAUUACAAACUGCUGCUAUAAACAUGGGUAUGCAUAUAUUGCUGUGGUAUGAUUCUUUUAAUUCUUUUGGGAAAAUACCCAGCAGAGGAAUAGCUGGGUCAAAUGGGACCUCUAGCCCUAGUUCUUUGAGGUAUCUCCAUACUGAUUUCCAUAGUGGCUGCACCAGUCUGCACUCCCACCAGCAAUGGAGAAGGGUUCCUUUCUCUCCACACCCCGCCAGCAUUUGUUAUUGGUUGAUUUCUUGAUAGCAGCCAUUCUUUGUGGGGUGAGGUGGAAUCUCAGCAUUGUUUUCAUCUGCAUCUCUCGAAUGACCAGUGAUGUUGAACAUUUUUUCAUAUGUUUCUUUGCUGCUUUUACUUCUUUGAGAAAUGUCUGUUUAUUUCAGACAUUAUUUCUGUUUUAUUUCAUUUUUUGGAUUGGGUCUUUAUAUCUGGGGGGUCUGAUUUUUUUUUAGUUCUUUAUGUAUUCUAGAUAGUAGUCCUUUGUUUGAGGUACAGCUGCUAAAAUUUUUUCCCCACAUUGUAGGUUGUCUCUUAGCUCUGUUGGUGGUUUCUUUUGCAGUGCAGAAGAUUUUAAUAAGAUGAGAUCCCAGUUGUCGAUUCUUUGUGCUAGCUCCCAUGCUACUGAGGUUUUGUUCAUAAAGUCUUUUCCUAUGCCAAUGUCUUUGAGAGUUCUACCUAACUUAUCUUCCAGCAAGUUUAGUGUUUCUGUUUUAAUAUUUAGAUCUUUAAUCCACUUCGAUCUUAGUUUAGUGCAUGGUGAUAGGUAUGGGUCUAGUAUGUAUGAUAGGUAUGUCACUCUUUUUGUUUUAUAUAAUAGAAAAUGAAUGUCUAUUUGGCAAAAAAUUUUCCCAAUGAUUAUUAAGCUUUUUUGUUCUUUUUUGUUGUUGUUGCUUUUUAGGCAGGGUCUCUCUUUGUAGUUCAGGCUGGCCUUGAACUCACUGUGCAGCCCAGGCUGUCUCAAACUUGUGGCAAUCCUCCUGCCUCAGCCUCCCGAGUGCUGGGACUACAGGAGUGCACCACCACACCCAGCUUUAAGCUUUUUUUUAUUCUUAAAAUCAGCCUGGGGCCAGGGAUUUAGCUCAGUGGUUCCCUGCCUGCCUUGCAAGCGGAAGGACCCGAGUUCGAUUCCCGGCACCAAAAAAAAAAAAAAAAAAAAAAAAGCAGCCUGAACCUGUGUUACCUAAGAUAAAGAACAACUUUCUACCUCCAUGUGAUGAGAUCAGGGAUGAGGUUAAAGGUGCAGAUGGCCUGGUGUCUCUGUAACUCAUGUGACCCUGUGAAGGGGGUGGGAGGCUGUGUCUUGCACCAAGCAGUUCCCUUCCUGGAUUUGUCGUUUGCUUCCUUGUUAAAUUCUGCACAGUGUGAACGUGUUGCUUUCUCUAUUUGACCCUUUAGCCUGGGAGGGUCCCAGCCUGUGGGUAACAGUGCUGAGGUGGGAUGGGAGAAACGAAGACAGGUGGAGAACGGGCAAAGAGAGGUGAAACUUUAAAAUUGUGUUGCUAGAAAAACUCAGCUUCAGGACACAAGUCACUCGGCACACUCAAAAAUACUUCUUCUUUCCCCUAAGGGUUGUAGGGAAGGUUGAGGGACAGGCAGGGAAAGUUAAAGGGCUUCAGCGAGGUUUCUGGCAAAUAAAGAGUUAAAGCCCUGCUAGAGACAGUAGCUAAGAAAAACAAACAGAGCUGAUGAGGCUCCUGGCUCACUUAAGGGCAAGGCUCAAUUCCUGCACCUCUGUAUAAGUACAUACAUAUUUUGUUAUUUUCUCACCAUAUUAAUACACUAAAAUGCACAGGUAUCCUUUUUACUAACUCAGCCUUAAAUGUAAUUGUGCUGCAAGUCUCACAAGAUAAACACCCGGACAACACAAAGGGACCGCAGAAGUGCUUGUUCCAGAAUGUAUACAUGGGCAACAGCGAGGGCCAUGGCCGAGUCAGAGGUCUCAGAGCCCAGAACAGCCAGUGAAGUUACGACAGCUCUCAAGGGACACGGUCCGUUUCUUGCCAUGUAAUCAGAGGCUACGAACAAAGACCCCUUGAGUUCUGGCUCUGGGCUCCCUAACUUACUCCAACAAAGUAGCUAUCUAUCGCUUUAUUUCUCUCCCUCUCUCCAAUCAAGUAAUUUUGUUUCCCCUUUUCCCUUCCUUUCCUAAUAAAGUGAUUUUGUCUCUCCUUCAGAACAUAUAUCUCUAAUUCUUUUUUUGUGUGUAUGUUGUUUUACAAACCCUAGGUAAAAAUCUACCCUCAGGAGCUGUAACAGGGUGAGGGCCUAAGGCACCUGGGCUCAACUUUUCUCCCAUGAAUUAUACUUCCUGCCACAGAAAUCUGGAAGCUGCGAUACACACAGACGUCAGCCUUCUAACUUAGCCUGGCCGGCACGGAAAUGAAGUCCUAGGUCCCCCACCUUGAGGACACCCGACUCCAUGGGAACUCCACCCCAGACCAAGAUGCAUCUCUGUCCCAAGGCUUGUCCUCCAUUCUCUGAGAGGGGACUGUUUUAAUUUUGCCUAAUAAACCUCUUCACUCCUCUUGCUGAUGAAUCUUGAAAAUACUUUUUCUGCGAUGGAAGUCAGCGAACUUUCAACCUGUUGCAUGGGUGUGAAUGCUGCUGAUCGAGGGGACCUGUCUCUGGGCCGACGAACCUGCCCUCACCAGCAUGGCGCAGUCGCAGCUGAAGAGAAGAAGUGGCGCCACGGGCAUCCACACACUCGCAGAGUGCACACCGUGGGCCAAGCCGAGAGGUGCCUCAGUGCUAACAGAAUUCUGCACAGGGUUAGAUGCGAGCCUUACCAACAGCUAGAAACCAUACACUAUGACACGGAUUACCUUUUUAGCUAUUUUAUUUUAUUAUUAUUAUUUUUUUGAGAUGGGGUCUUGCUACAUAGCCCAGGCUGGCUUUGAACUCACGGAGAUCCUCCUACCUCCCUAGUCUUGGGAUUCUAAGUGUGCAUUACACACCUGGCUCUUUUUAGUCUAUUUUAACUCUUGAUCAGUAAGCUUAUAAAACUGUGUUUCAACCAGCUUUGAACCAUCAUAUACCAUAAUUUUUUAUCUGAAUGAAAUUAUUAAGGCAGAUAUUCAUAAUAUAAUUAAACAGAAACACUAUGAAGUUCUGGUUUUUUUUGGUUUUUUUCAGUACUGAGAAUUGAACCCAGGGCCUUCACACUGAGCUACAUCCCAGCCCCUUUUACUUUUUUUUUUUUUUGGUACUGGGAGUCUAACUCGGGACCUUGUGCUUGUGGGGCAGGCCGCAGAACCACUGAGCUAAAUCCGGCCCCUUUUUUAAUUUUUAUUUUGAGACAGGCUCUUGCUAAGUCACCAAGUCGCCCAGGUUGGGUUCAAAUUUGUGGUCCUUCUGCCUCAGCCUCCCAGAGUGCUGGGAUCACACGUGUGCCCCACCCCACCCAGCUUAGUGUUCUUCUAGCCUUAAUAUUCUUUCCCCUCAUCCUUCUCCUUAAUUUGCUUGUCAU